rnacentral:rRNA from 1 species
UACGGGGGGGGGCAAGCGUUGUUCGGAAUUACUGGGCGUAAAGGGCUCGUAGGCGGCCAACUAAGUCAGACGUGAAAUCCCUCGGCUUAACCGGGGAACUGCGUCUGAUACUGGAUGGCUUGAGUUCGGGAGAGGGACGCGGAAUUCCAGGUGUAGCGGUGAAAUGCGUAGAUAUCUGGAGGAACACCGGUGGCGAAGGCGGCGUCCUGGACCAAUACUGACACUGAAACGCGAAAGCCAGGGGAGCAAACGGG